rnacentral:ncRNA from 1 species
CAGGAAGCCGGUGGGAAUCCGGCACGGCCGGCGCCACUGUGACCGGGGAGUGAAGCCUCCCGCAGGCCCGGGUUCUUCCAAUCGGGUCGGGUGUGCCACCGGGACGUCAGUCCUGGGAAGGCCGGAGGUGAGCGGUGAUCCGGGAGUCAGGAGACUG